CGGGAUAGCUCAGCUUGUAGAGCAGACUGA
rnacentral:tRNA from 1 species